GGUCGCCUGCCACGUGUCCCCUUGCACUUGGCCUUUUUAUACGGGCGUCUUCCUUCCUGCGGAUCGCAAUCGUUUCUCUUCUUUCUUCGCUCCAUUCCUCUGUUCUCAUCUCAUCACCAUUGAAGUAUCUCUGAUCAUUCAGCUUCCCCAUCCAUCCGGUCCAACCAAGCAAUGGGUCGUCUGUGGACUGUCGUGGCGCAUGCUCACUCCCUCGCCGGGUACUUCUUCUUCUUCUUCUUCUUCUUCGACGAGAUAUAUUGAGCUGAUUUUGUGUGCCUUUGACAAUCUCUGAUGGAAUUGGCGCAGGCCGGUGCUGAUGCUGCUCUACCCUCUGUGAGAUUCCCACUUCUUUCUUCAACAUAUUAUGUAGGCCAAGGAAAUGAAAUGAAUUGAGCAGGGGAGAUACUUUUUUCAUUUGAGGUUGAACGGUGG